rnacentral:rRNA from 1 species
UACGUAGGGGGCGAGCGUUGUCCGGAAUUAUUGGGCGUAAAGAGCGUGUAGGCGGUUCGGUAAGUCUGCCGUGAAAACCUGGGGCUCAACCCUGGGCGUGCGGUGGAUACUGCCUGGCUAGAGGGUGGUAGAGGCGAGUGGAAUUCCUGGUGUAGCGGUGGAAUGCGCAGAUAUCAGGAGGAACACCAACGGCGAAGGCAGCUCGCUGGGACGGUACUGACACUGAGACGCGAAAGCGUGGGGAGCAAACAGG